UUUAAUAGGAAGACGAGAAGACCCUAUAGAGUUUAAUAGAUUUUUAUUCUUGUAAUUUAGGUUUUUAUUAUAUAGGGUUAUAAGUCUAUUUUGUUGGGGUGAUAAUUGAAUUUAAUAAACUUCUUUUUUAUAAUCAUUGAUUUAUGAAUAAAUGAUCCUAUUGUUUAGAUUAAAAGAAAAAAUUACCUUAGGGAUAACAGCGUAAUUCUUUUGGAGAGUUCUUAUCGAUAAAAGAGAUUGCGACCUCGAUGUUGGAUUAAAGUUUAAUUUUGGUGUAGAAGCUAAAAUAUUAAGACUGUUCGAC
rnacentral:rRNA from 1 species